CCUCAUCCUACCCAGCCUCCCCCCAUCCUGGACCCACUUUUUGUAACAGUGAUUUCUCAGGAGAAGUGCUGAGGCACACAAUUUCUUUUUAGAACAUCUUUUCUGAGUUUAGGAAAUUCUCCAAACCUGGAAAUGCCUCUCCCCUUUCAGUCAGGAGUUAGAAACGAAAAGGCAUCUUGAAAAGAUAAAAUCAGAGGACCAGUGGAUGGCUCCUGGCGCUGCUGCUAUUAGCCCUGUGACUCUGAGUAGGUAACUUGAGAACUCUGAGUCUCCAUCCCCUCAUCUGUAAAACAGGCAUUGCUGUGAUCUGAAUGUUUGUGUCCCCCCAGAAUUCAUAUGUUGAAACCUAAUCACCAAUGUGAUGGUAUUAGGAGGUGGGGCCUUUGGGAGGUGAUUAGGCCAUGAGGGUGGAGCCCUCACUAAUGGGAUUAGUGUUCUUAUAACAGAGGCCCAGAGAGCUGCCUGGCCCCUUCCACCAUGUGAGGACUAUCAACCAGGAAAUGGGCCUUCACCAGGCACUGAAUAUGCCAGUGCCUUCUUCUUGGACUACCCAGUCUCCAGAAAUCUGCACACUCUUCUGGUCCGUGUUUGUUCUGGCUCAAGCUGAGCUUUUGCUCACCGUCCACCACUGCUGAUUGCCGCUGUCGCAGACCCGCCGCUAACUUCCACCCCUCCGGAUCCAGCAGGGUGUACGCUGCGCUUCUGAUCAGCAAGGCGCCCAUCCAUUGCCGUUCCCUAUCGGGCUAGAGGUUCGCUAUUGUUCCUGCAUGGCUAAGUGCCCGGGUUUGUCCUAAUCAAGCUGAACACUAGUCACUGGGUUCCACGGUUCUCUUCCCUGACCCACGGCUUCUAAUAGAGCUGUAAUACUCACCGCAUGGGCCAAGGUUCCAUUCCUUGGAAUCCGUGAGGCCAAGAACCCCAGGUCAGAGAGCAAAAGGCUUGCCGCCAUCUUGGGAGCUCUAAGAACAAAGACCCACUGGUAACACUAUGACAGGUAUAUAACAGGUAUAUAUAAGUGUUAGCCUACUUAUCAAAUUAGAAGGGAUAAAUAAAAACAGAUUGUCAAUUCUCAGGCCCAUUCUAAGAAUUCUUAUGUCCAUUCUAUAAGUAAGUUAGCAGCACCAAAAGUAACAAUGAGGUGGGGUGCAGUGGCUCACAACUAGCACUUUGGGAGGCCAAGGUGGGAGGACAGCUUGAGGCCAAGAGUUUGAGACUAGCCUGGACAACAUAGCAAGAUCCCGUCUCUAUGAAAUUUUUAAAAAUAGCCAGGCAUGGUGGUGCACACCUGCAUUUCCAGCUACACGGGAGGAUGAAGUGAGAGGAUUGUUUGAGCCCAGAAGUCUGAGGUUACAGUAUGCUGUGGUCAUGCCAUUGCACUCCAGCCUGGGCAGCAGAGUGAGGCCCUGCAAGUUAACAAUGAGUUAACAUAAAUAUUUCUUGGAUGGAUGAAUAAAUGAAUGAAUGAAUAUGGGAUUGCUCAGGUCAGUCAGACCUGUGGAGAACCUUAAUAUCAGUCAGGGCUAACAAUGUGGGUAUAAAAAUCAGGCCAAGAAGUCACAAGUUCAAGAGCCCAUGGUGGUGGAAAUUUGAAGUGACUCAGUCAGCAGGCAUGAAGAGAGGCAAAGUGUCGGGGUACCAGGUAUGAAGCACCAGCCAUAGAGGAGGCUUGACAAUGGAGAAAACACCAUCGCCAGUGACAAACCUCUUGAAUAGGAAGGAAAGGCCAGGGUGAAGGGGCAUGGUAAGCAUCCUAGAAUCACAUACACAGGGGUUGUUGGCACCAGAAGAGGAUACAUGAACCAUUUUGUCUGAAGAUUCAAACUCAAAUGGAAACAAGUGAAGUAGAUGGCUCUAAGCCAACAAGCCACGCUGGACUGGUAGAACAGGAGAUCGCAUGCCCUGGUAGAUAAAGGCAUUCAAAAAUCAGCUACAGACAAAAUCUUUUGCCAGCCAAAUAAAAUAAAGAUGAAGAAACCGGUUCAGAAGUACAAGUGCCUGCCAGUUAAUGACAGCCCUGUUAUUGGAAGCUAGGUCUUCUGACUCCUAAGCAAGACAUUGUCAAGACAAUGAGGGAGGAAGCAGGGUUUGUGGAGGAGCCAGCUCCAACACAGAUCGGCCCUUGAGCCUCAGAGGUGGGCCUCUGAGCACUUUCAGAACCAGCUUUGUUCUAAUGCAGAUUCCAAAGAAAGGAAUCUUUUUUUUUU
rnacentral:lncRNA from 10 species